AUUGAACGCUGGCGGCAGGCCUAACACAUGCAAGUCGAGCGAGCGGCGGACGGGUGAGUAAUGUCUGGGAAACUGCCUGAUGGAGGGGGAUAACUACUGGAAACGGUAGCUACUACCGCAUACCAUCAGAUGUGCCCAGAUGGGAUUAGCUAGUGGGGGGGGUAACGGCUAACAUGGGCGACGAUCCCUCGAUGGUCUGAGAGGAUGACCAGCCACACUGGAACGGAGACAGGUUCCGGCCUCCUACGGGAGGCAGCAGGGGGAAAUAUUGCACAAUGGGCGAAAGCCGGAUGCAGCCAUGCCGCGUGUGUGAAGAAGGCCUGCGGGUUGUAAAGCACGUUCAGCGGGGAGGCGUUACCCGCAGAAGAAGCACCGGCUAACUCCGUGCCAGCCGCCGCGGUAAUAC
rnacentral:rRNA from 1 species